UGUCAAAAUUUUGGCUCAGUCUUCUGUGUAAUUACUCUUAA
rnacentral:sRNA from 1 species